rnacentral:rRNA from 1 species
UUAAAUUGAAGAGUUUGAUCAUGGCUCAGAUUGAACGCUGGCGGCAGGCCUAACACAUGCAAGUCGAACGGUAACAGGAAGCAGCUUGCUGCUUUGCUGACGAGUGGCGGACGGGUGAGUAAUGUCUGGGAAACUGCCUGAUGGAGGGGGAUAACUACUGGAAACGGUGGCUAAUACCGCAUAACGUCGCAAGACCAAAGAGGGGGACCUUCGGGCCUCUUGCCAUCAGAUGUGCCCAGAUGGGAUUAGCUUGUUGGUGAGGUAACGGCUCACCAAGGCGACGAUCCCUAGCUGGUCUGAGAGGAUGACCAGCCACACUGGAACUGAGACACGGUCCAGACUCCUACGGGAGGCAGCAGUGGGGAAUAUUGCACAAUGGGCGCAAGCCUGAUGCAGCCAUGCCGCGUGUAUGAAGAAGGCCUUCGGGUUGUAAAGUACUUUCAGCGGGGAGGAAGGUGUUGUGGUUAAUAACCACAGCAAUUGACGUUACCCGCAGAAGAAGCACCGGCUAACUCCGUGCCAGCAGCCGCGGUAAUACGGAGGGUGCAAGCGUUAAUCGGAAUUACUGGGCGUAAAGCGCACGCAGGCGGUCUGUCAAGUCGGAUGUGAAAUCCCCGGGCUCAACCUGGGAACUGCAUUCGAAACUGGCAGGCUUGAGUCUUGUAGAGGGGGGUAGAAUUCCAGGUGUAGCGGUGAAAUGCGUAGAGAUCUGGAGGAAUACCGGUGGCGAAGGCGGCCCCCUGGACAAAGACUGACGCUCAGGUGCGAAAGCGUGGGGAGCAAACAGGAUUAGAUACCCUGGUAGUCCACGCCGUAAACGAUGUCUACUUGGAGGUUGUGCCCUUGAGGCGUGGCUUCCGGAGCUAACGCGUUAAGUAGACCGCCUGGGGAGUACGGCCGCAAGGUUAAAACUCAAAUGAAUUGACGGGGGCCCGCACAAGCGGUGGAGCAUGUGGUUUAAUUCGAUGCAACGCGAAGAACCUUACCUGGUCUUGACAUCCACAGAACUUUCCAGAGAUGGAUUGGUGCCUUCGGGAACUGUGAGACAGGUGCUGCAUGGCUGUCGUCAGCUCGUGUUGUGAAAUGUUGGGUUAAGUCCCGCAACGAGCGCAACCCUUAUCCUUUGUUGCCAGCGGUCCGGCCGGGAACUCAAAGGAGACUGCCAGUGAUAAACUGGAGGAAGGUGGGGAUGACGUCAAGUCAUCAUGGCCCUUACGACCAGGGCUACACACGUGCUACAAUGGCGCAUACAAAGAGAAGCGACCUCGCGAGAGCAAGCGGACCUCAUAAAGUGCGUCGUAGUCCGGAUUGGAGUCUGCAACUCGACUCCAUGAAGUCGGAAUCGCUAGUAAUCGUGGAUCAGAAUGCCACGGUGAAUACGUUCCCGGGCCUUGUACACACCGCCCGUCACACCAUGGGAGUGGGUUGCAAAAGAAGUAGGUAGCUUAACCUUCGGGAGGGCGCUUACCACUUUGUGAUUCAUGACUGGGGUGAAGUCGUAACAAGGUAACCGUAGGGGAACCUGCGGUUGGAUCACCUCCUUACCUGAAAGAAGC